ACUUGGAUAGCAAAGUGGUUAUUGCGGUAGAUUUAGGAUCUAUUACCAAAGGUUCAAAUCCUUUUCUUAGUU
rnacentral:tRNA from 1 species